CUUACAUUUUGGAGGCCCCAGCGAGAUCCCCGGGUAAGGGACCCCCGUUCAGCCAAGACUCUGUGGCGGGAUCCAGCAGGAGACUCAGGCACAGACCUCAGAAAACCUCCGGAGGUUUGAUUCCAAGACCCUGGAACCUCGUUGGAAGGGACCGGUUCCUGCUGUCCUGUCAGCUCCCUUGGCGGUGAAGGUGGCUGGACAUUCUGCCUGGAUACAUCGCAACCAUCUGAAAGCCAGGACCCCCCGUGGAUGUCAAAAAGGACAAAUGGAAGGUUAUCAGCCAACCAGGCAACCAAAAGCUAAGACUGGAACGGCAAAUUUAACCAAGACCCGUUGCUGUUUGAGUCGUCUAGCUGUAGUGUUGCCAGACAGAACUGAUUUGAUUGUGCCUAACAGAACUAAACGUUGGUCACCUUACACUGCACCAGGAUGCGAUGAUGACGUAGGUCUGUUAACAGAUGCUGAAGUAAUAACCAUGAUAGCAUCUUUUGUUGCCCUGCCUUCUAUAGGAGUCCAUGCUGAAAAGGCAGUAUGAAAAUUAGCUUGCAAGGUGGUCAAAGGGUUAAAUGCUAGCUCAUCAGCCUUGUCAUUAAUUAACCAAGAGUUACAGGAACAGAGACAGGCAAUCUUAGAUAAUAGAACAGCAAUAGACUAUUUGUUGCUCCUCCACCACCAAGGUUGUGAAAGAGUAAAAAAUAUGUGUUGUUUCAAUCUUACCGAUAAUGGUCCAAAGAUCGAAGAAAAGGUAAAACAAUUAGAAGAUCUGGCUCAAAGAAUAUAUAAUGAGGAUGACGGGGACUUGUUCAAAUGGUUAACUUCGUGGUUGCCCAACCUAAAAUGGUUAAAACAACUUUUUCUUGUCAUCAUAGUUUUGUGUACAUGCUUAUUAUUGUCAUGUUGUUGUAUACAAUGGAUGCCUACAUUUGUGCGUAAGAUUACUUAAGUUCCAAAAAUCAGUGGGGAAUGUGGGACUGCUUAACCUUUGUUCCUUUUCUCCAGCCCCAUUGUGAUUAAAUGUGAGUUAAUGGAUAAAGAUGCUUGUUAGUUUUGGGACACUAGAUAAAAAUCUGUAACAGACCUAAAGUCCCAAAGUAAACUACUCAACUCCUUGUUUGCCCGGAACUGAUGUUCCGAGCACCACAAUUUUUAGAACAAGCUGCAAAUGUCUGCUGACCAUCAAUACGUGACAGUCGACCACUAACCUUUGUCCCCUUUUCUUUAAUUCUAUAUGUUAACUCCCCCUCAACCCCCUAUAAAAACAGCCUCGGACUCUGAGCUAGCUGCCUCUCUAAGCUAUUUUGCUUUGGGAGUGCCGUCUGGCCAGACUAAUAAAGGUCUGUUUUACUUUCCAACGUGUCCGGUGUGUUCCUUCCCGGGUGUUCGUCGCUGCAGUCAGCUCCUCGGAGCGUUUG
rnacentral:lncRNA from 1 species